UUUGAAAUAGUGGUUGCAGAUGCACACAGCACACAUACUUUCACUGUGGAUAACAAAUAUCAAACAGACAAACAGUGCAAAAUGUAUCCACAAAUAUCAAACAGACAAACAGUGCAAAAUGUAUCGCCCUCGGCCCUCCUGCAUUCAGGAGUAAGGGUCACGAUUGCCGCAUACGACAUGAGGGAAACAGAAUUAUAGCCAUAGUAUGAUAGUAAGCCAGGGCAGAAUACAAUUACAGACUUGAUUGAAAUAACUGGAAUACAUGUAUUUCAACUAGCCCAAUAUUCACCCAGCCCACACCCAAGCCCAAGAAAGUGUUGGAUGACAAACAUUUCCUUCAUCAGUCCAUCAGCCCAAGUCCAAUAAAAUGAUCCGUGGAUAUUUCAUCCUUCUAAAUAACAGGCCCAAUACCCAGCCCAAUGCGCAAACAACUAGGUCUUUGAAAAUGUUUCAUCUCAAUCGUCCAUUCAAAAUCGACGGUUACAAUAUUUGUAAAUUAAUAAUUAAUUAUUUUAUGUACAGAACUAUAUAUAUUUGUGAGAAAAAAGAAAAAAAAAAGUGUAUUAACAGAUUAGAAUAGAUGAAGAAGAACUGAAAACUCAAAACAACAGAAACAAAGAAAAGAAGAGCACAUUAUAGAGAGAAGAGAGAAGGUUGUUUGAAAAACAAAAAGAGAUUUCUAAGCGUGAAAGAAAACUAAAUUGUGAAAACUGAUCUGGGUUUUCUUCAUUUCAAUUCUUUCAUUAUUGAAAGCUUUGUUUGCUGUUUUCAAUGGAGUUAUUUCUUAGUAAGUUAUUUGUUUUUUUUUUGUUAAUUUCUGCAUUGCUUUUGCUGUUUCUGCUAGAUCUUUCUAAUGGGUAUUUGUAAUUGCAGAGUAAUUUAAAGAAAAUACUACUCUGGGUUUUCUCUUAAAGCCAUAGAUCUUCAGGUAAAAACAGAGUUUUCUCCAUUUUCAUAAUUCAAAUGGGUGUUUUAAUAAUUAACUAAUAUGAUUUGUUUGAUUUGUUUUCAGAGAUGGAGAAUGAUGGAAAGCAUCAAAGAGCAGCAGCAGCAGCAGCAGCAACAACAACAUCUAAUAGAGUUAGAGAAACAGAUUUUCUAUUACAGUGGGGAAAUCGAAAGAGACUUCGAUGUUUAAAGGUGAAAGAAGAAGAACAACAACAUCAUAAUCAAGAUGUUUCAGAGAAAGAGAAAGAGAAAUCUAAUAACAACGGUGGAGUAAUUAGAAAGAAAACUACCUCUCGUAUUGAUCGCCGUGUUGUUAAAACAGCAGAGAAAGAUUCUUCUUCUUCACCUUCUCGUCUUCCACCUAAUCCACAAAAUAACAAUAACAAGUAAGCAAAAGCUAACCUCCCCAUCAAACAAAUUUCAUUAAAAUUCAUGUUUAACAGUGUGAAUUUAUCCAAAUUUAUUUCAGGAACUCUGAUCGAUCGAGAUCAAGUGAGAAUCUUAAACAUUUACAACAGUCUUCUUCACCAGAGAAAGAAGAAAGGUACUACACAACAAGAGG
rnacentral:lncRNA from 1 species